rnacentral:rRNA from 1 species
UGCCAGCAGCCGCGGUAAUACGGAGGGGGUUAGCGUUGUUCGGAAUUACUGGGCGUAAAGCGCACGUAGGCGGAAUGUUAAGUGAGGGGUGAAAUCCCAGGGCUCAACCCUGGAACUGCCUUUCAUACUGGCAAUCUAGAGAUCGAGAGAGGUGAGUGGAAUUCCGAGUGUAGAGGUGAAAUUCGUAGAUAUUCGGAGGAACACCAGUGGCGAAGGCGGCUCACUGGCUCGAUACUGACGCUGAGAUGCGAAAGCGUGGGGAGCGAACAGGAUUAGAUA